GACGGAGGAUGCAAGCGUUAUCCGGAAUGAUUGGGCGUAAAGCGUCCGCAGGUGGCAGUUCAAGUCUGCUGUCAAAGACCGGGGCUUAACUUCGGAAAGGCAGUGGAAACUGAACAGCUAGAGUAUGGUAGGGGCAGAGGGAAUUCCUGGUGUAGCGGUGAAAUGCGUAGAUAUCAAGAGGAACACCUGAGGUGAAGACGGGUUGCUGGGCUGACACUGACGCUGAGGCGCGAAAGCUAGGGUAGCAAACGGG
rnacentral:rRNA from 1 species